rnacentral:lncRNA from 1 species
CUACAUUAAGCUGCAGGGGCCCUGGGAAGCCAGCACUGCACUGUGAGCCACUACAGCGGGAAGGGGCAGCCCGACACUGGCCACAGCCACAGUUCCCACGUGUGGAAAAACUGAGGUGGAUUGCCGAUGACCUCAGGCAACUGAGAUGAAGCUAAGCAGGGACCAGUGUGAGCAAAGCCGCUAAAUGCAUGAGGACAAGGAGGACUAACUGAGGGCCAAUCCAGCAGGCAGCGGACAGGGGUUCAGGGACAACUGCAGUGACAGGCACUUCAGGAGGGCCCUCGCUGCUAUGUUCACAUUACCUGUCCCAGAAAUGCCCGGGCCAGGGGGACUGCCGGCUGGUCGAAGAACUCCAACCCCAGUCGGGUAAGGUGGCCCUUUGGGCUUGAGAAAUAGAUGCUGCGGUAUGGGCCCGGAGUGGUGGGCGGUCCCAAGCAGCGCUCCCUGGGGCAAGGUGCCUGGGCUGCAUCGGACGAGCUGUGUGGCUGCUCUGCAGGUGCCUGGGCUGCGUCGGACGAGCUGUGUGGCUGCCCUGCUCUAGCUGGUCGCUGCUUCUUUUGCCCCAUCCGUCGGCAAAAC